GGAGGCUGCGGACGAGUGCGGGGAGGAGUUUGUGAUGGGAGGCGCUUGCAGGGGCUCCCCCAGUUCUGCACUGUGAGCCGGGGCACAAAGAGCCCUCCGCACUCAGCCGCAGGACCGCGCACCCGAGCUGGAGGCUCGUCCCUGCUCACCCCUGUGGUUCCAGACACGUUCGUCCCACCGCCUUGACCCCAGCCGCAUCUGAGGAGUACCCAAGGGCCAGGAUGAAGGGUCAUUGUGGGUCAGGCAAGGCUCCCCUGAGCAGCUUGGGGUCUGUCUGCAGAGUGGCAGCAAAUUCCUGGGACAGAGAGGAGAGGAGGGACUGUCCAGGCCGUUCAAGGACUUCACGGGCACCCCGCAAGCUGCCUUGCAGAUAAGUAUUCACGUUUACCAGCCCAUGGCCAACCGGCCUCUGGCCUCCCAGUCUGCCCUUCCUGGUCUCCAGAGGAAAAUGGAGUGUCCUAGAAUCCCAAAGAGGGAGGGGGAGUCAGAGAGCCAGCCCUACCUUUAUUUCAGGAAGAAAGAGCUUGUCCCAUUUUAUGGGACUCAAAAAAAAAAAGGUGAUUUUCACACCCCAGUUUUGCUAGUGUUUUAUAACCUGCUGUUGGGAGCUUUUAUAUAGCUGCUAAAUGACUUCAUCUCUGUCCCUGUGGAUCUGCUGUUAGCAGGGGCGGGGGACUUCCUGGGGAUUUGGACUGGCCCUUAUCUUCUCAGGGACCUUUGGUGACCACAUUCCUGAACUCGGGUAGGGGUCCUCAGCCUUGAAGUGAAGUGGGGACACAGCACCUGUCCCCUAGGGCUCUGGGCUGGUGUCCCAGGUCCCAGGUGCCAACAGCAAGUCUGAGAAUACACCGGGUGGGCCUGACUCCCCUGGCUCAGGCCUCUGGUACCAAGAUGGCGACCAUGCAGCUGGUACCAAGAGCAAAAGCCAGGACUGGGCUCAGAGCUAGUGGGCGUUCCCUGGCCUUCUCCACGCUGUGGUCACAGCGUGGUCCCUGGGGUCCCCCGAGGUUCCUCUGGUGCAGGUCUGGGGAGGCUGAGCCUGGGCAGAAGGUCCCCCUGCUUCUCAUCCUUUGUCCCAAAUGAUGGGCCACCGUCGGGCUCCUGGGGCACAUGUCCGGGCUGAGGGGUCCCAGUGCCCGGAGAGGCGACAGGGCCCCACAGUGUGGGGGUGGAGCCGGCUCAGAGUCCACAUUCCUCUGAGCGGUGGGAGAGAGUCCUGCUUCCUUCUGGGUCACGCUGUCCUGCUGUGGGGAGGCGGGCGGCCUCCUGGCUCCCGUCUGGCCUGGGCCUGGGUGCAGUGCUCUCCUGUGGCGUGGGUGGCCCUUUUGUCUUCCAGGUGGGGCCUGUGGGGUCAGCGUGGGAAGGAGCUGGGAGCCUGGGCCGCUGUGGCGUUGGCUGGGUGCUGCCAGCACGGACACGGGCCAGGCGCCUUCAGCCAGGAGGACGCUGGGAUGGGAGCUGGACACCAGAGACGCGGCCCGUCCUCUCUGAUCCCACGGAGAUCACGCGGGCGCUCUGCCCAGACCUGGGCCUGCUCUUCUCUGUGGUGCCUGCGUGACCCUGCGUUCCGGCUUCGGCGACCCCAAGGCUGGCCCAUGAUGGCUCAGAGACCGCAGCCUUCCCUACUCUUGGGGUGGAACCUCUGGCGGAUCCGAGCCCUUCUUGGUAGAUGCUCAGCUGAGGACCGGAUCCCGGCUCUGCGGACGGCCCGCGGGGUGUGAGAGGCCGCAGCCCACCCGUCUCCGCCUGUCCAACAGACACUUCCCACCUGCUGUGCCCAGCCUCCUGGGGCUGGAGGCUGCUUCGUGACCCCGUGUGGACUUGCUUUCACCUCCAGCCCCCACCAUGAGAGAGCUGGGCCUGGGCCAAGGGCCCCCUGAGUGCCCCCCGCCCCAGGGCAGGGUCUCCAAGGGUCCUGCAGGAUGGGGGUGGGAGGCAGGAUGGGCGUUGAGGCCGGUUACCAGUGGGAGGCUGGAGUCUGUCCUUGGGUGCUUUCUGCAUGGGUGACCGUCAUUUUUGGUGGAUGCUGACUCAGUUGGGCUUCUCCACAUUUCUCUCCCUCGUGGUUCCCGGGAGGAGGCUGCCGGGGUCUGGGGGGAGCUGGGCCUUCCCCAUAGGGUGUCCAUCUCUGGGAGGCGUGGGUGGUCCUGAAGCGAGAGGGCUUCUCAGAGAUGGCGAGGCCCAGGCAGGGAAGCCCGUAGACACCGACAGGCAGCUCUGGGUCUCCCUCCUCCAUCCAGCGAGGACCAGUCUCCCCUGAGACUUCUCGGGUCACCGUGCCGCCCAGAGAGACCCGGUCCUGCUCCUGGGCUCCUUGAUUCUGUCCUUGGGAUCCGAGGCUUGCGGGACACAUGACUUCC